rnacentral:rRNA from 1 species
UACGGGGGGGUAAGCGUUGUUCGGAAUUACUGGGCGUAAAGGGCGCGUAGGCUGCCCGUCAAGUCCCGUGUGAAAGCCCCCGGCUCAACCGGGGAACUGCACGGGAAACUAGCAGGCUUGAGUUCGGGAGAGGGAAGCGGAGUUUCGGGUGUAGCGGUGAAAUGCGCAGAUAUCCGAAGGAACACCGGUGGCGAAGGCGGCUUCCUGGACCGACACUGACGCUGAGGCGCGAAAGCUAGGGGAGCAAACGGG